CUGAAUAAAUAAGAUGUAAGACUAAUACUAAUACCAAACGUAUUUCCUUGAUUUUUACAGUAAUUUUGAUAACUUUCAAAUUUUUAAAUUAUUAACGCGUACAGAAUGAUUAACGAAAUAUAACGAAUUUAUAAUAAAUUGAACGACUGUAUGUUUAUUUUACU